UAGGAGUAGGAUCUAACUUUU
rnacentral:piRNA from 1 species